UGGGGAAUAUUGGACAAUGGGCGAAAGCCUGAUCCAGCCAUGCCGCGUGUGUGAAGGAGGUCUUCGGAUUGUAAAGCACUUUAAGCUGGGAGGAAGGGCAGUAAGUUAAUACCUUGCUGUUUUGACGUUACCGACAGAAUAAGCACCGGCUAACUCUGUGCCAGCAGCCGCGGUAAUACAGAGGGUGCAAGCGUUAAUCGGAAUUACUGGGCGUAAAGCGCGCGUAGGUGGUUUGUUAAGUUGGAUGUGAAAGCCCCGGGCUCAACCUGGGAACUGCAUCCAAAACUGGCAAGCUAGAGUACGGUAGAGGGUGGUGGAAUUUCCUGUGUAGCGGUGAAAUGCGUAGAUAUAGGAAGGAACACCAGUGGCGAAGGCGACCACCUGGACUGAUACUGACACUGAGGUGCGAAAGCGUGGGGAGCAAACAGGAUUAGAUACCCACGUAGUCCCUG
rnacentral:rRNA from 1 species